rnacentral:rRNA from 1 species
UACGUAGGGGGCAAGCGUUGUCCGGAUUUAUUGGGCGUAAAGAGCGUGUAGGCGGCCAGACAGGUCCGUUGUGAAAACUCGAGGCUCAACCUCGAGACGCCGAUGGAAACCGUCUGGCUAGAGUCCGGAAGAGGAGAGUGGAAUUCCUGGUGUAGCGAUGAAAUGCGCAGAUAUCAGGAAGAACACCCGUGGCUAAGGCGGCUCUCUAGUACGGUACUGACGCAGAGACGCGAAAGCGUGGGGAGCGAACAGG